GCAGCCGUAGCCUAGUCCGGCAAGGCAUCUGACUUUUAAGCAGGAGACCGCAGGUUCAAAUCCUGCCGGCUACACCA
rnacentral:tRNA from 1 species